GUAACGAAGAAAACAAGCUAACCAAGUUGCUUUGGUCUAGUGGUAUAGGAGCUCCAGCUGAAGUGCCCGUCCCUGGGUUCGAGCCUUGGCCACUGCGGAAUUUACAUGUAGGCUGCAGCACCGUUACAUGGUGAGCCACAUGGUGACGUCCUGGCAGCGUCCAUGCUUACUUCGGUCUCUAGUCUGGACCACUUCGGUGGAGCCAGGAUAUUCGGUUAGCAAAAAAAAAAGAAAACAAGCUAAAAAUGGCUAAAGAGAAAUCAUAUGUAAUUGCUCUUCAGCCUCUUCUUCUUCUUCUAUCUUUGCUCCUAUGUCUUUCUUCUCAAGUUGGUGUUGCCGACGCCAGAAGCCAUACAAGUUAGUAUAUUUUUGUCCAGUUGUUCACGUUCUACGUUGUUUAUGAAAGAAGCAUACUCCAUAAUGGCUUCAAUUUUUUUUUUGUUAGUUAAUACCGGGUAUUCAGAUUCUCGAUGUGCCGAUAAAUUUCCAGCAACUCCACCACCAGUCUACAAACCUAACCCGCCGAUAGUCACUCCGAGGUCUUCGUCACCCAAAGGAAAAGGCCCAUAACUCCAUAAGUGCUGAAAAGUUUCAAGAAGUGACAGGGAUUGAAGAAACACACACA